rnacentral:rRNA from 1 species
GGAAAGGCGGGGACCUUCGGGCCUCACGCUGAAAGAGCGGCCGAUGGCUGAUUAGCUAGUUGGUGGGGUAAAGGCCCACCAAGGCCAUGAUCGGUAGCUGUUCUGAGAGGAAGAUCAGCCACACUGGGACUGAGACACGGCCCAGACUCCUACGGGAGGCAGCAGUGGGGAAUUUUGGACAAUGGGGGCAACCCUGAUCCAGCAACGCCGCGUGAAUGAAGAAGGCCUUCGGGUUGUAAAGUUCUUUUGUCGCAGAGCAAAUAAAGAUGGGUAAUAUCCAUUGAUGAUGACGGUACCAGAAGAAUAAGCACCGGCUAACUACGUGCCAGCAGCCGCGGUAAUACGUAGGGUGCGAGCGUUAAUCGGAAUUACUGGGCGUAAAGGGUGCGCAGGCGGACGUUUAAGUUAGAUGUGAAAUCCCCGGGCUCAACCUGGGAAAUGCUUUUAAGACUGGACGUCUAGAGUUUGUCAGAGG